GCAUGCUAAUUACUGGUAAUUGCCAGCAGUUCCUGUACAGUACGGUUGCGUUCAUCGCGUACUCUGCCAUUGGGCUGUUUCUUUCCGUCUCUGGCUCAAGCCGCAGUGGGUGGAGAUAGACGAGAAAUGGCAGUUCUGCAGGGUUUCUUCUGCCAGGCCAUGGUUCAUUUCUGCAGCGCGAAGCUUUCUGGUGAAGAGGCCUUUACCAGAAACCGCUUUCAAGGUGUGAUCGUGAUCCUGAAGAGAUAGCGUACGGUUCUUUGCCUUUAUUCCACGAAAGUGGGGGUCAUUAACGGAUAAGCUGGUGAAAGUGUUUUUCUGAGAAGUCCUAUCAGUAUCUUAAAUCUUUCUCACGACCUUACGUUUUAUAUCCAGUUGCAUAAAGCAUCGGAGCGGAUCUAGAUGUAGUGGUUUUGCUCAUAUUUUCAAGCUCUCAUAAAUAUACUAGCUUAGCGUGAACUUUUUUUUUAGUGCCGGUUUGUUGCCCUUCACCAGUAAAACCAAACUGGUUUACCAAGGCGGUCUUUGUGGUGAAGAUAAGGUUUAGGUUUUGAUGGUUUAGAGGCUUGAGUACCGGUUUAUUUCAAUCCUUUCGAAGUCGGCACAAGCUAUAAGUUUUAUCUUAAAAUGCUUUUCACAGAAAUGCGUUGUGAAACUACAGAUGUGCAGAUAUUUUCACAUUUAUGCUAAGGCCUUUUUUCCGCAGAAAUGAAGCGCGAUUGUGUGGGUGUUUUUAGCUUUUUGGUUUCUGAAACUGGGUUUUUUUAAUUUCUGCCGAUCACUGUCGACAGCGAAUGUAACUGAAGGCGAGAGUGCAACGCAAGCGCCACAAACGGCACUGUUGAGGGGAAAAAUAAACCAAAGCGAAAAGUGAAUCAGACCCCAACAACAGAUUCUUAAACUGAGCAACUUUAGAUUCUCCCCCUUGAGCAAACGCCGACGUCUUUUUGCGCAAAACUCGAUCCAUGACUAGUCAGAGAAACGUGGUUUGCGUAAAAGAGGCUGCUGUGUGUGUAUGAAGAGCAGGCCCCGAGCUUUUUAGAAAAACGUAAAGUUUUGCUGAGCUAAGCGUUUUUUCCCCUCAGUGAAAUCUCUCACGUCAUUCUCUCUUUGAAACGAUGACGUGAAGACGUUUAUUGCAGCAUGCGUCUUCGAUACGACGGGGUAGAAGGAAUAGUUGGGCGAAGCGGCUGAAAGGAUGCUAUAUUGUAUGCUUGAUGAAUCAGACGUUUAGUAUAGAAACAUACUGUAAAAAUUUUUAUGAUAAUUUCCUGCCAAGAGGCAUUACAGACAUUUCCAUUACCUCUAAAAUGCAACGCUAAAUAAAAAUCAAUAGGGAAAUUCCUUCAUGUUAAUACAGUCCAUUGUAUGCGUUUUUUACGGCGUCCGUUUAACCAAAACUGCCUUGAAAAUGCGCAUUGCGCUCUAAACGCCUACGAUUUACAUUUUUUGUAGAACAAACUAGAAAUCGGUUGAAAGUUUUACAAUUGAAAAUAGCUGAGCGAACCAGCGGUUAAGGUCUGUCCCGCAAAUUGACUAAAUGCUGUGUUAAAACGACCACGAAUGUAUUAAAACGUUCAAUUUUAUAUCUCGCUUUAAGUUAAUAGCUUAGAACGGCGAGCAAGGCAGAAAGAGCGGGAGUUUCCAUAGUUUCAGAAAAGAAGUCGCGCCAGCCGAGGGGGUAACCAUAGCAACAGCAGACCAACCGUUGAGCGCCAGCCGUUGGGAUCAGUGUCUGCCAGGUAAACAGAACUAGUCUUUAUUUAUACUUUUAUCAGGUAAGUCUGUGAAUUGUACUACUUUUUGUGUAAAAAGUAUUCAGAGUUAAGAUUAAGAUCGCGUUUAAGUUCACUUUGGACGCGAAAAGACGACCAAACGAUCACAAAGGUCUAAUCGCUAAUCACGAAGGCCAGCUUUUGGGAAAAUACACGAUCUCUGCCAAAUUUUUUGCCAAAUAUUUGUGCCAAACUGAGGGAGAUUUUCUGGUUUUGGUGGUUUCCCCUCAAAUCCGUCGGUGGAGAACAUUUGGAGGACUCUCCGUUCUCGAAACAGCUGCCGGGUAAUUAAUUGACUUUCAAAUUAAAUUGACCGCAAUAAUUCUUUCGUUCUCUUUGUCACGUGACCACACAAGUUCCUGUAUAGCGUGAAUUAUGGCGGAAUUAUGGUUUUUCACACAGAAUAGGAUCCUGUUUGUUUGAACAGGUCUCUCGAAUAAGAGUAAAACAACCACAAGAUGGCAGUGAAACACUUUUUGUUUUCUUUUCAUGUUUUAUCAUACUUAUUAUCGCCCAAUAUUAAGUUGAUGUUAGCCGCAUGAACAACAACAAAAAAAAAAGAUUAUGGAUACCAGCAACUGUUUGAUUACCGACAUUCUUCAAAACAGUUUUGUGCUGAACAGCAGAAAGAAACUCACACAGUUUGUAGCAACACAAAUGCUUUUUGGGUGAACUGUCCCUUUAAACCUGUUCAAUCAGCUUGAAGCCCAACUCUGAAAUCUGAUUGGUUGAUAGCAGUGCUUCACCAAGGCAGAUGCUGUUCGCAGGAGAAUGUUUCCUUGGGUUAGAAGCAAGCCUCCUCUGCCCUUUUUUUUGGAGGUUGUGUUCUGUUAGAGAGCCAUGGGCGCUCUUCAAUAUUUAAUCAAGGGUGUGUUUGAAGAUGUGUCUGUGUGUGAGAGCAGUAACUGGAGAGGAGAAGGUUUAAGAUGAAAGACUUCCUUCACUCUCUUUUCUCACUUUCACCUGCACCAGACGUCCUUCUUUUAUCUCGGGACACCCGCCGUCCGUCCGCUGACCGUCUGAGGCAUGUUUCGAUGGAAACGCAAGCGCUUUUUCAAUCCGCUUGGUUCCUGUCCGCUGGGACCUGAGGCGGCGUCACACACUUCAUCAGAUCACAUGACAUCAACGCUGAGAGGAAAGGGCUGCUGUGUGAAUACUUCUACGCAGGGAUUAACAGAAAAUUCACAGAGUAUUUUUAAUCAUGAUAAGCCUUUCUAAGAAUAGACUCAGCGGAACGUCACAACAGACACAGAAAAAAACAGACGCAUCUCUCACAAAUACAUUCAUCAUCAGUUAAAAACUUGCAAGUGGAUUGGGGAAAAACCGUCAACAUGAGAAGGCUUUUUGACCUGGACAUGAAUGAUGAUGUUCAACCUCCACAUAUCAAUGGUCCUCGAGACUCAACACCUGCUUCCCUCUGUGUUCUUCAUGUCAUCCAACACCACGGCGUUACACCUGAAAUUAGAGCACACACAGACACACCCACAACACACACACACACACACACACACCAGCCCCAGUCAACUCCACCGGGACGAGCCGCUAGGUACCUCUAACACACACACACACACACACACGCCCGUGUCCUCCAGGCAUGUGCUCCAUUCAGCCGUGUAGAGGUGAUCUUUCAUUUUGACAGAUCAUCAGCUUUUCUUUCAUGGAGAUGUGGAGAUACUGGUUAGCCGAGCACGACCGUUCGCUUUUUACAUCUUCAUACAGCGGGAAGCGGGCCUCGGCUCCCAUCAGCUCACGGAUGGCGAGCGCUUCGCUUUGCUGAGGUUUAAGCUUCGUGGCACCGUUUCUAUCCCAUCGUGCAUCUGUGACGCCUGCCAACCUGUUAAUGCAUAGCAACCGCAGGCAUCCGUCUUUAAACACACGCCAGAGCACCCGAACAAUCAGCGUCCGAUCACAGACCUGCUUCUGACCUCGCGACUGACAGAAAUCUAGCUAGAACUGGAAAACGCUCGAUGUGUUUCGUAUGGGAUGGAGGAUGACCCGCCGCAGCCUGAUCAGGGCUUUAACGGCGUACCAUCCCAAGAAGCAGAUCAAACCAGUUCUAUUGAUUUCACACGGAUUAGUCCCUGUCAGAGUCAAAUAAGACCGGAGUUUUGGUGCAAAGUUGAUGUUUAUUCAAACAUAAAAUUAAUUCAUUGAUCAUUUAGAUGUGACUGGAUUUUUACUAAUUACAGAAAAAAUGUGUGUUUACAUAUCUAUACACUGUGUUUCUAUAACAAGUAAAAAAUUUCAAGAGUAAAUGUAUAUAAUAUAUAAUAUU